rnacentral:rRNA from 1 species
UACGUAGGGGCUAGCGUUAUCCGGAAUUACUGGGCGUAAAGAGCGCGCAGGUGGUUGAUUAAGUCUGAUGUGAAAGCCCACGGCUUAACCGUGGAGGGUCAUUGGAAACUGGUCGACUUGAGUGCAGAAGAGGGAAGUGGAAUUCCAUGUGUAGCGGUGAAAUGCGUAGAGAUAUGGAGGAACACCAGUGGCGAAGGCGGCUUCCUGGUCUGUAACUGACACUGAGGCACGAAAGCGUGGGGAGCAAACAGGAUUAGAUA